rnacentral:rRNA from 1 species
UACGAACUGUGCGAACGUUAUUCGGAAUCACUGGGCUUAAAGGGUGCGUAGGCGGCGCUGUAAGUCAGGUGUGAAAUCCCCCGGCUCAACCGGGGAAUGGCGCUUGAAACUGCAGUGCUUGAGUGAGGUAGGGGUGCAUGGAACUUCCGGUGGAGCGGUGAAAUGUGUAGAUAUCGGAAGGAACGCCGGCGGCGAAAGCGGUGCACUGGGCCUUGUCUGACGCUGAGGCACGAAAGCCAGGGUAGCGAAC